rnacentral:misc_RNA from 1 species
GACGGAGGGCGCAAGCGUUGUUCGGAAUUACUGGGCGUAAAGCGCGGGCAGGUGGUCCGUUAAGUCGUUUGUGAAAAUCCGGGGCUCAACCCCGUGAAAUGCAAGCGAUACUGGCGGACUGGAGAUCGGUAGAGGCUAGCGGAAUUCCUGGUGUAGCGGUGGAAUGCGUAGAUAUCAGGAAGAACACCCGUUGCGAAGGCGGCUAGCUGGGCCGAGUCUGACACUCAUCCGCGAAAGCGUGGGGAGCGAACAGG